CUACGGGGCGCUGCAGUGGGGAAUAUUGCACAAUGGGGGAAACCCUGAUGCAGCAACGCCGCGUGGAGGAUGACACAUUUCGGUGCGUAAACUCCUUUUAUAGGUCAAGAUAAUGACGGUAGCCUAUGAAUAAGCGCCGGCUAGACUCCGUGCCAGCAGCCGCGGUAAUACGGAGGGCGCAAGCGUUACUCGGAAUCACUGGGCGUAAAGAGCAUGUAGGCGGGUUAAUAAGUCAGAAGUGAAAUCCAAUAGCUCAACUAUUGAACUGCUUUUGAAACUGUUAACCUAGAGUGUGGGAGAGGUAGAUGGAAUUUCUGGUGUAGGGGUAAAAUCCGUAGAGAUCAGAAGGAAUACCGAUUGCGAAGGCGAUCUACUGGAACAUUACUGACGCUGAGAUGCGAAAGCGUGGGGAGCAAACAGGAUUAGAUACCCCUGUAGUC
rnacentral:rRNA from 1 species